CGCUGCGGCAGCCUACACAUGCAAGUCGAGCGGUAGAGAGAAGCUUGCUCUCUGAGAGCGGCGGACGGGUGAGUAAAGCCUAGGAAUCUGCCUGGUAGUGGGGGAUAACGUCGGAAACGGACGCUAAUACCGCAUACGUCCUACGGGAGAAAGCAGGGGACCUUCGGGCCUUGCGCUAUCAGAUGAGCCUAGGUCGGAUUAGCUAGUUGGUGAGGUAAUGGCUCACCAAGGCGACGAUCCGUAACUGGUCUGAGAGGAUGAUCAGUCACACUGGAACUGAGACACGGUCCAGACUCCUACGGGAGGCAGCAGUGGGGAAUAUUGGACAAUGGGCGAAAGCCUGAUCCAGCCAUGCCGCGUGUGUGAAGAAGGUCUUCGGAUUGUAAAGCACUUUAAGUUGGGAGGAAGGGCAUUAACCUAAUACGUUAGUGUUUUGACGUUACCGACAGAAUAAGCACCGGCUAACUCUGUGCCAGCAGCCGCGGUAAUACAGAGGGUGCAAGCGUUAAUCGGAAUUACUGGGCGUAAAGCGCGCGUAGGUGGUUUGUUAAGUUGGAUGUGAAAUCCCCGGGCUCAACCUGGGAACUGCAUUCAAAACUGACUGACUAGAGUAUGGUAGAGGGUGGUGGAAUUUCCUGUGUAGCGGUGAAAUGCGUAGAUAUAGGAAGGAACACCAGUGGCGAAGGCGACCACCUGGACUAAUACUGACACUGAGGUGCGAAAGCGUGGGGAGCAAACAGGAUUAGAUACCCUGGUAGUCCACGCCGUAAACGAUGUCAACUAGCCGUUGGGAGCCUUGAGCUCUUAGUGGCGCAGCUAACGC
rnacentral:rRNA from 1 species